GGGCUGACUGCCUCUGAGGAAGGAUCUCUAUUUGGAGAUUGCUCUUUUUGAAGUUUUUUUUGCAAGCCCAGGAUGUAGGGUUUCCUCUACAGAUGAAUGACUCGGAUCACUCUCUAUUUCACCAUUCGUUUCAAGGAUGCAUGCAGUUUAUUCAUGUGGAUGAUCAGCUGGUAGAUUUGCAAGCAGUGGAGCAGGGCCAGCUGGGAAGCUUUGCCAAUGUCAGCAUUGACAUGUGUGCCAUUAUUGACAGACCUCUCCCCCAUUUGCUUGGAGGAAAAAAAAACCAUGAAGUUGGGAAUGAUGGAAAUUUUCAUGAUUAACCAGAAUGGAUAGGGGACAAUUUUAUCUAAUAUAUGAUGAAAGGUACUCAGCGUGAUGAGUUCUUGUGCUGCAUCAGUCUGGAGGUAACUGAUCCUGAAGACGCAAAUUCUCCCAGCUCAAUAUGGAAAAGAUUUCUGCAUUUCAGUUUUCUGUUUAAGAUGCAGGAAGAAUGGUUACAUUAGUGUUGCGCUUAUACUUGGGAAAGAGAGAUGCUGAUCAAAUGUUUUCUUUUAUUAUUAUUAUUAUUAUUUUUAGUCCUCUCCCCUCAGAUGCUUUGCUAUUACAUCUAGACUUGCAGACUGAGGUCUUACUAACAGGGAACAUUGAUGCUAAAGGGCAUUUUCUUUUUACCACUGGCCAAACUGUACAAGUGCUGUGUGUGUGUAUACAUAUAUAUAGUUAGU